rnacentral:misc_RNA from 1 species
GAUGAAGAACGUAGUAAAAUGCGAUAAGUAAUGUGAAUUGCAGAAUUCAGUGAAUCAUCGAAUCUUUGAACGCACAUUGCGCCCGCUGGUAUUCCGGCGGGCAUGCCUGUUCGAGCGUCAUUUCAACCCUCAAGCCCCCCGGGUUUGGUGUUGGGGAUCGGCUCUGCCUCACGGCGGUGCCGCCCCCGAAAUACAUUGGCGGUCUCGCUGCAGCCUCCAUUGCGUAGUAGCUAACACCUCGCAACUGGAACGCGGCGCGGCCAUGCCGUAAAACCCCAACUUCUGAAUGUUGACCUCGGAUCAGGUAGGAAUACCCGCUGAACUUAAGCAUAUCAAUAAGCGGAGGA